rnacentral:rRNA from 1 species
CAGUAGGGAGGAAGGUAGUGUAGUUAACACCUGCAUUAUUUGACGUUACCUACAGAAGAAGCACCGGCUAACUCCGUGCCAGCAGCCGCGGUAAUACGGAGGGUGCGAGCGUUAAUCGGAAUUACUGGGCGUAAAGCGCAUGCAGGCGGCCUGUUAAGUCAGAUGUGAAAGACCCGGGGCGUUAACCUCGGAAUUGCAUUUGAAACUAGGCAGGCUAGAGUCUUGUAGAGGGGGGUAGGAAGUUUACAGGUGUAGCGGUGAAAUAGCGUAGAGAUCUGAAGGAAUACCAGUGGCGAAGGCGGCCCCCUCGGACAAAGACUGACGCUCAGAUGCGAAAGCGUGGGGAGCAAACAGGAUUAGAUACCCUGGUAG